CACAAAAUGUUUGGAUGCAGUCAGCUAGUCUUAGCACUUGCUCCUGGGAAGAAGGAAUGACCACAGCUCCUGAUCAAUCUGAAAGACGCAACUGGUUAUCAACCUAUUCAUUCUAUUCGAUUCCUUGAUUUACUUAUGUCCACUGAAAGAAUCAA